CAAGUUGAGUGGCGAACGGGUGAGUAACACGUGGGUGACCUACCUUCGAGUGGGGGAUAACGUCCCGAAAGGGACGCUAAUACCGCAUAACAUCCCGCCUUUGAACAGGCGGAGAUCAAAGCCGGGGAUCGCAAGACCUGGCGCUUGAUGAGGGGCCCGCGUCCGAUUAGCUAGUUGGUGGGGUAAUGGCCUACCAAGGCGACGAUCGGUAGCCGGCCUGAGAGGGCGGACGGCCACACUGGGACUGAGACACGGCCCAGACUCCUACGGGAGGCAGCAGUGGGGAAUUGUUCGCAAUGGGCGCAAGCCUGACGACGCAACGCUGCGUGGAGGAUGAAGGUCUUCGGAUUGUAAACUCCUGUUGCCCGGGACGAAUGGCUCCAACCUAAUACGUUGGAGUGUGACGGUACCGGGUGAGGAAGCCCCGGCUAACUCUGUGCCAGCAGCCGCGGUAAUACAGAGGGGGCAAGCGUUG
rnacentral:rRNA from 1 species